rnacentral:rRNA from 1 species
UACAUAGGGUGCGAGCGUUAAUCGGAAUUACUGGGCGUAAAGCGUGCGCAGGCGGUUCGUUGUGUCGGCGGUGAAAGCCCCGGGCUCAACCUGGGAAUGGCCGUUGAAACUGGCGAACUGGAGUGUGGCAGAGGGGGGUGGAAUUCCGCGUGUAGCAGUGAAAUGCGUAGAGAUGCGGAGGAACACCGAUGGCGAAGGCAGCCCCCUGGGCUAACACUGACGCUCAGGCACGAAAGCGUGGGGAGCAAACAGG